rnacentral:misc_RNA from 1 species
UCUCCGUAGGUGAACCUGCGGAAGGAUCAUUCAUAAUAAAGUGUUUUAUGGCACUUUUUAAAACUCCAUAUCCACCUUGUGUUCAAUGUUCGAUCUCGUCGAUCUUGCCGAGAUUUUUAUACACCAACUCAUUCUAUCACUAAUUUGUCUGUAAAAUAUUAUGAAUACUUAAUUCUAAAUACAACUCUCAACAACGGAUCUCUUGGUUCUC